rnacentral:rRNA from 1 species
CACGGGGGGAGCAAGCGUUGUUCGGAAUCACUGGGCGUAAAGGGCGUGUAGGCGGUCUGGUAAGUGGGAUGUGAAAGCCCCCGGCUCACCCGGGGAUCUGCAUUCCAUACUGCCAGACUUGAGUAUGGGAGAGGACAGGGGAAUUCCUGGUGUAGCGGUGAAAUGCGUAGAUAUCAGGAGGAACACCGGUGGCGAAGGCGCCUGUCUGGCCCAAUACUGACGCUGAGGAGCGAAAGCCAGGGGAGCAAACGGG